CUAAAGCUACAAAACUAAAAGUCAACUUGCUGUGUUGUUGGGUGCCAGAAUCAAGAUUUCACAUACAUUUGAGAUGCCAAACUGUGAUUCAAGGCGAAGAGCUGCUAAUAGUUAGCCUUUGGAUAACCGCAGUUGUGAGCCAUUGGCUGCGGUUAGUAGAAGACUAAACUAUUAGCAACCAUUUCUCUCUAAUCUUUGAAACGCAUCGCUGAUAUUAUACAACUCUCUUUUUGACUGACUUUACUGAAAGAGAGUUAACUAUAGGCA